rnacentral:rRNA from 1 species
UUGACGGGGAGCACUACAACGGGUGGAGCCUGCGGUUUAAUUGGACUCAACGCCGGAAACUCACCGGGGGCGACAGCAAUAUGUAGGUCAAGCUAAAGACUUUACCAGAAUCGCUGAGAGGAGGUGCAUGGCCGUCGUCAGUUCGUACUGUGAAGCAUCCUGUUAAGUCAGGCAACGAGCGAGACCCGUGCCCACUGUUGCCAGCAUGUCCUUCGGGAUGAUGGGUACUCUGUGGGGACCGCCGAUGCUAAAUCGGAGGAAGGUGCGGGCUACGGUAGGUCAGUAUGCCCCGAAUCUCCCGGGCUACACGCGGGCUACAAUGACUGGGACAAUGGGCUCCUACCCCGAAAGGGGAUGGUAAUCUCAUAAACCCAGCCUUAGUUCGGAUCGAGGGCUGUAACCCUCCCUCGUGAAGCUGGAAUCCGUAGUAAUCGCGUUUCAACAUAGCGCGGUGAAUACGUCCCUGCUCCUU